UUGACAGUGUCCUUUGCCGUUCAGAAGCUCAGUUCAAGUAACUGUCCUGUGUCCUGAGCCCUAGAAUGAAGCUCACUUCUGUCAAUAAGGAUCAAGGACAUCAAAAACAAAAAAAAAUUUUAAAGGAUUUUAAAAAAUAGAUUUUGUAGAAAAAUGGAAAAUAUGGGACACUGUAAAGUGGGAAAUAUUUUUCACCUCUUACUAGUAGGAGGCAAUUUUUAUUACGUUUGUUAUAUAUUGUCAUUGAAAGUAUUUCUAUUUACAAUAUUAGUAUAUUUGUUGAUACAUGGUUGAAACAUUUGAGGUAGAAGACGUGCACUCCACGUGCUCACAGAUUGUACUAGAAUUCAACUCACAUGCCUUGCCCUUCUGAGGAAGGGAUUUACACCUGUCUUCCACCCAGCAGGCUGGGAACAGAUGCUGUUUAAUAGCCCAGUUAUCUUUGAUUAUCUUAGAGCCAGGCCUCACCCGAAAUCACCCAUCCUUAUGAAAGAUGACCUAUGCACUUUGCAAAAGAGCUUGAUUAUUUUACUCCAUACAAACCCUUCCUCCCCAGACCAUUGACCUGAGCAGUGUUUCUCCAUCAAUAGAACCUACUUUUGUAGAAGAAAUCACAGGUACUUUGCGAAAGACACAUACUUUGCAAAAGAGCUUUGAUUUAGAAACCCCUUUCUAAGAUAACUUGAUGCUUACAUAUGUUAAAAACAAACAGCUUGGGAUCAGACUCCAGAAGUUUGCUAACUUAAGUUACAAUGAACAGACUUUCCUUCCUGCCUCUCAGGGUCUGUUUCCCAAUUGGCCAUGAUGCUUGAUAUCUUGGCUAUGACACCCACAGUUUGACAUGUUUCAUGCUGUUCUCCCAUAAGCCAUUUUUAACUAAUAUACAUAGUUCAGGAGUCAGUAGCCUUUCCUUGUAAAUGCCCAAAUAGAAAAUGUGCCAGACUGUGGGGGCCAUUUAGGCUGUUAGAAUGUAUGUAUUUCUGUACAUAGAGUAGGAAAGCAGCCAUCAGCCAUACACAGGUGAAUGACCAUGGUUAGAUUCCAGUAAAAUAUAGAAAGAGGGAGGACCAGAAAGAGGCAGCACCUGGCCUCCAAGCUAUUAUUUGCUCACUCAUGGAUACACACACACACACACACACACACACACAUUCUAGCCAUUGGUUAGCAGAAUUUCAACGUUUAUCUGACCCCGAUAAUCAUCUUCCUGCUGAAACUCUUUUCAGCUAAUCCUGCCCUCUGUGCAUACCUACCAGGCGACUGCUGUACCCCUCACCUAGCUACAACUCCAUCUUCACUAUGGACAUUUUCCUGAUGGCCGUUGAUGCUCAUUGUCUUUUGUGUACGUUUUGGCCAUUUACGACUCUUUUGUAGUAGCUAUUCAGGUUCUUUCUCCAGCUUUGAAUUGGGUUAUUUUAUUGGUGUUGACUUGGGGCACUUUCAUUAUUCUGAGUAUUAAUCUCUUAUCAGACAUGUUAUACAUUUUCUCCCAUUCUGAGCAGGAUAUAUUAGCAUCUUUUGGAGACACAAAAUUCUAAUUUCAAUACAGUUCAAUUUUUUUUCCUUUUAUUGCUUGCUUCUUGGCAUCAUACCUGUGAAGUCAGUAAUCAAUGCAAAGCCCUGUGCUCUUUCUAUGAGUCUCAUGAUUUCAGCUCUUAAAGUCUUUGAUACAUUUUUCAGUUAAUUUUUAUAUUCGGCAGGAGAGUCUAAGGCAGUGGUUCUCAACCUUCCUAAUGCUGUGACCCUUUACUAGAGUUCCUUAUGUUAUGGUGACCCCACCCCCACCCCGGACACUGUAAUUUGAAAAUGGACAUUUAGCCAGUUUUGUGGUUUUCUAGUUGAUUGUCAGAGGCUAUCGAUUUGAUGGUUGAUGUGUGUGCUUGCAUGACAGUUGAUGUGUGUGCUUGCAUGACAGUUGAUAUGUGUGCUUGCAUGACAGUUGAUGUGUGUGCUUGCAUGACAGUUGAUAUGUGUGCUUAUUUGUUCAUGCUACAGCACACGUGUGGAAGUCAGAGACGCAUCAGGGGGACGUCAGUAUUCUACACCUGUGGGUCCCAGGGCUCAAACUCGGCAGACUUGGCUGUAAUCAUCUCUCCUGAUGCCCCAUCUUGCAGGCCCCCAAAGGGAAACUUCACUUGUUUUCUUUGCUUUCCACAGGUUUCCUUAUCACCUCUGUAAACACAUUAUCAGUUUCCCCAUCGAUCUCAACCUGUCUCCACUGGUUAAGUCAUUAAUUGCAUCUCCGUUGAGUAACUCUGAACUUUGGCCCUGCAUCCCUGACAUGCCCAGCAAACAUUUAUCUUUUCACCUCAAGGCAGUCUUGAGGUGAAGCGUGGGGGACGGAAGCACACGUUGGUAAACACGUGAUCCUGAACAGGGCUUCCAGCCUGGGCAGGUGUGGGUGUGGGUGUGCGCGCAUGUGUGUAUUUUACUUUUUUAUUUGUUUAUAUAUUUUAUGGAAUGCAUGCUCUGUCCGCAUGUACACCUGCUUGACAGAGGAGGGCAUCAGAUCCAUUAUUGAUAGUUGUGAGUCACCAUGUGGUUGCUGGGAAUUGAACUCAGGAUCUCUGGAAGAGCAGCCGGUGCUCUUAACUCAUGAACCAUCUCUCCUGCCCUGGCAAUGGUGUUUUAAAUAGCUCCAGCAACAGGCUUCUCACUGCCUCAUUUAUAGGACAGCUGUGGUGGUGUAGUAUGACCCUUAAUGCCCAUUUCUAUCUUUAAGCUUAUGUAUCUGUGAUGUAAUUUAACCUUAAGACAAGUGGAGAAUGGCCAACGUCUCUAGUGUUUGUCUCAGUAAGCUUAAGCAGGACUUUCAGGUCUGCUCACUGACUGGCAGUGAGACACAGUGACUUGGCUUCUAGUGUGACACCAGACAGCUUCAAGUGCUAGAGAGUAGGGUAAAAAUGACAACUCAUCCACAGCUGAAUGUAACAGGGUUAGGGUGAGGUCCUGGUUACAUUAUUAAAAUGAACAGUUCUCAUUUAUUAGGGAAAAAAAUCUACCCUAGGAAUUUCUCACUUUUCUAGAAGUUUCUGAAAAAAAAAAACAUGAUAACAACCCAUGUAUCAGGUUGGCAUUCAAAACUGUGGAAAUGGCAGGAAGAGGGGCCUUUGGAAAUGUGAAGUUUGAAUUUAUGACGUCGUGAUUGACAGCUGCUUUACUCUUAACAGCCUGUGAGCGCAAAUGCUUGGGGAGCCUCUUGAGUUUAAGUCCAUUUUGCACAAGGAGCCAGGGUCCUCAAAGUAGCCAGGUUUAGUCAGGGGAAACACAGCCAAGGUCCAGCUGCAACGUCUAUGAACUUGGACUGACUUAGCCAGGGCCAGGCUGACUCCAUGACAGGCAGCAAACGGGCAGUUUGGGAGACUAGCCCGAAGUCUCUGUUUCCCAGAAACGAGAAUCUGGAUCCAGGAACUUGUUGUCAGCCAACCACAGCCAUGGGCAGCCAAUCCAAGGACACCUUGUCAUCUGGCCUGCAGUAAGAAUAGGUAGCUAGAAUGAGUAAGCAACCUGCGGGGAGGUCUCCAGAGCCUAACCAGGUAUAGAAUCAGUCAGACCUCGAGAGACAGAGUCAAGACCAGUCAAGGUAACAGGGCACACACCUGCCGCUGGAAUUCUGCUGACAAUAAAAGCUGGGCCUCUGAGCCCACCAGAGGUCUCCAUUCCCAAGUGGGGAGACCCCUGCAUGUAGGAAAUGAUUUUCAUAGCUUUUGCAUACGAAUAGUUGAGUCUAGGGUAUCACUCUUCAGAGAUUCUUGGACCCUAAUCUCAUGAAGUUUAGUUACCCCCUUGUCUUAGGGUUUUACUGUUGUGAAUAGACACCAUGACCAAGGCUAUUCUUAUAAGGACAACAUUUAAUUGGGGCUGUCUUACAAGUGCAGAGGUUCAGUCCAUUAUCAUCAAGGCAGCAUCCAGGUAGGCAUGGUGCGGGAGGAGUUGAGAGUUCUACGUCUUCAUCUGAAGGCUGCUAGCAGAAUACUCACUUCCAGCCAGCUAGGAUGAGGGUCUUAAGCCCACACCCACGGUGACACACUUACUCCACCAAGGCCACACCUUCUAAUCUUGCCAUUCCCUGGGCUGAGCGUUUACAAACCAUCACACCCCUUUCUUGACUUUCUUGUGUCACAGUUUUGGGAAAACUAAAAACUAUAUAUAAAAUGCUACACCUCACUAAUGUUACAUUUGAAUCAAAUGUUCAUUUUUUUAUAGGUGUAUGCACUGGUGUGUAAUCCAUUACUCUUCCCAGGUAGUAAUCCAGUUUUAUGUUUCUGAUAUUUUUAUGUGUUUUAUUAGAAGUCAGCUGUCAUGUUGGUGAAGUAUCUGAGACUGCUUAAAAACUGAACAAGUCAGGAUGGACUCCUGGGUCUGAGACAAAGGGCUUUAUUCAUAGUACAUGGACACGGUAGCAGCCCAUGUGAGCUUGUCACUUUGGACUCCCUAGUCCUCCAAGGUUCACAGUGAGGGACACUGAGGAAGUCAAGGUGGAUGUUACAUAGGUAUUGCCUGCAUCUCCACUGAGUAACUCUGAACUUGCAUCCCUGUCAUGCCCAACAAAUACAGACUAAGAGGGAUACUGAGGGCCCAUGGUAGGAUGCAUUUGGAUGAAACAAAAUCUAGGCCUAACUGCCCAUAGAAAUAAUUACCUUCGUGUUUCCUGGACCGUAAUGCUGGUGAGUGAUCUGAACUUUUCAAUAUAUGAGUCGGCAGCUGCGUUAGUUCUUUUUCUGUUGCCAUGUUACAAUACCAUGACCAAGGCAACUUAGAGAAGAAAGGAUUUGAUUGACAGUUCCAGAGGGGUAAGAGUAUGUCAUGGGGAAACAUGGGAGCAAGCCGCAGGCAUGGAAGCAGGGGCAGAAAGCUGAGGGCUCAUCUUGAACUGCAAGCAUGAAGCAGAGAGUGAACUAGAAAUGUAUGUUUUUAACUCUGGAAGCCCACCCCAUGCGCCAUGCCUCAGCUCCAAUAAGGCCACACCUCCUGAGCCUCUCCAAUCACACCACCAACUGGGGGCCGUGGGUUCAAAUGCCCACGAUGGGGAACAUGUCAUUCAACAGAGGUUAUUGGUAAGUUGGCACUGCAUCUCAACAGCAGGACUGCAUCUAUCAGCAGCUCUGGUGACACACACACGCUGACACUCAGGUACCUGGUGAACAAAGCUUGGUUUGCUGUCUUCCUAUCUCUCAGGAGAUAAAAAUGUCAGGUUGAAUAUCAUCACAGCGCUCCAUCACCUCUAGACAGAAUGGCUUCAUUAUCUGGAGUGAAUGAAGGCUCUUUGUAAGCCCGUGACCACAGCGAUCUCUGAACAGAACACCCUAUAAUCUCAGAGCUGAGCCCACUGUUAAAACAGGCACGGAGGCGACACUGUUCCACCCCCCAGUGUGGUGGGGAUAGGUUGUAAAACUCUGCCAGUGACACUAGUGGAGACUUUGAUCCACGGUCGCUGUCUAGUCCUCGUGCUGGGACUCGCAGGCACACUAUGACUCUAAAAUCAGUAACUGAAACACAAGCCUCUCACCCAGCAUGGGUGGCAAUCAACUUUUCUACGACCACUCUCAUUUUCGUUUUAUGUUCGUUAUUGCUCAGGAGCCUUGCACACGGUUCGGGCAUGUGAAGCGUCCCCUUGGCUCUGCAAUGGAGGCAGUUUAGGGAGUGAGCAGGGGCCCCAGAACAGGCCACUCCUUCCCUCAAGCACUUCUUAAAGCACGGGGAGAACUUGAUGCUUUCACAGGAAGCCCUGUGAGCUUCCUACCAAGAAAACAAGAGGACCAAUCAGCCUGUUGGUGGAAGCUCUGGACUGCGCUUAGUUCAAUGGACCAUUCACACAUUGUAGACAAGCACAGGGUGAGGCUGAGGCUGAGACUGCCACAGCAGUUGGCCUGUGAUCUGGAAAGGACGCCAUCACUGGGAUGAGCUUCCCUGCCACCCUGGCAGAUAGGACACAGGCUCUCUGUGGACCUUUGUUCUGUCACUUUCAGAAGGCACAGGGAUAAAGGCUGCACCACACCCAGCAACCCCAUCUCUGAGCCCUUUGUCUUACCUAGCUCCGCCCACCCCAUUGGGCUGCUUUUAUGUAGUCAUUUCAACUUCAUCAGGGAGUCCAAAUGAAGCCUUCUGAAGCCUGCCUUGGACAUGGCUAGGGGUCCACUUGAGGUGCUGGGAAUUGAACCUGUGUCCUGUGGAAGAGAAGCUGGUGCUCUUAACUGCCGAGCCAUCUCUCCAGUCACCACAUCUUUUAAUAUGUCCUCUAAAAACUGAAGAACAUAUCUUCUGGGUGGGAAGGAACCCUGACACCUAUUUUGAAAGGCUGCCGACAUCACGUGAUUAGCAGAUACAGCUUUAGGCUUUUGUAGGUCAGUAACCAAGUACAUACUCUGCUGAACAGGAACAAAAAUUAAUUUUAAUUGCCAACCAGGCAUUCCAGUUUAAGUAAAUUCAGGUCAACAAGUCA